rnacentral:rRNA from 1 species
UACGUAGGGUGCGAGCGUUGUCCGGAAUUACUGGGCGUAAAGAGCUCGUAGGUGGUUUGUCGCGUCGUCUGUGAAAUUCCGGGGCUUAACUCCGGGCGUGCAGGCGAUACGGGCAUAACUUGAGUACUGUAGGGGAGACUGGAAUUCCUGGUGUAGCGGUGAAAUGCGCAGAUAUCAGGAGGAACACCGGUGGCGAAGGCGGGUCUCUGGGCAGUAACUGACGCUGAGGAGCGAAAGCAUGGGUAGCGAACAGGAUUAGAUACCCGCGUAGU